GUCUACGGCCACACUGCCCUGAAUGUGCCUGAUCUCACCUGAUCUCGGAAGCUAAGCAGGGUCAUGCCUGGUUAGUUCUUGGAUGGGAGAUCAACCCCUGGGAAUAGUGCAGGAGCAACACACU
rnacentral:rRNA from 1 species